UCCGUAGGUGAACCUGCGGAAGGAUCAUUAAACAAAUAAAUAUACCAUCAACAAAAGAGCAACGGCGUCAGCUGUUGAUCUUUUGUUGGUACUUUCUUUACGGGCCAACUGCUUACGCAGUUGAGUUGUAGAUUCAACUGCGCAGCAGUUGGCCCUUAAGAAAAGAGAGACGGAUUAGCCGAUAGCUAACGCCAUCGUCUAAUCCUUCUCUCAGGUAACACGAUAUACGUUGACGAACACAGACUAAAAAUGUAAACAACUUUUAACAAUGGAUCUCUUGGCUCUUACGACGAUGAAGAACGCAGCGAACUGCGAAAAGUAAUGUGACCUGCAAACUUUGUGAAACAUCGAAUAUUUGAACGCAACUUGCACCAAGCAAGCAAUUGUUUGGUAUACUUGUUUGAGUAAUACAUAAAUCUCGCCUCUGCGGAAUUGCAAAGCAGUAAUGUUUUGUCAAAAUGAGUGACUUAAAGUCAGCUGGGAUAAUAUCCUAACAGUCGGCAGUAUUGUCAUAAGAGGAGGGAGGGAUGGGGUGGGGUUCUGGUUGGAAGGACAGCUUCAUCAUCUUCAUCUCGCAAUAAGGGCGGUCCGGUAGGCCUAACGGGGCCACGGAACGCUUAUUUACUCAUAUUCUCAAAUCAAGUAAGAUGACCCGCUGAAUUUAAGCAUAUCAAUAAGCGGAGG
rnacentral:rRNA from 1 species